GUACAAAAUCCUCAAACUGUAUACUGAUUCAUCCUGCAUCUUAAAAUAUUCUUCAGCCAUCUCCUCUCCAACAAGGAAAGUUGGUGGUCUUCAUGGGAGCGAGUCCUCAGUCUCACUCCAUCUCGAAGUUUCCUCCCUCCCCUUCCGUCCUCGCGCCUCUUUUUCACUCCUCAGAUUACCUCUGGGAAUCCCAAAUCUUAGAAAUCCGUUAUACAGGGUCAUUUGAUUCCCCAGCAAAACUUGUCCCCUGAGGGGUGCACUUCAAAUUCAGCUCCAGGAGUUCAGCAUUUUUAUCUUUUGGGAAGAUAAAAGAAAAAUACUUUUCCCUUGUGUUAAAAAUGGCAACAUUCAUUGAACUCUUACAAUAAUAAAUAGUAAUAUUGAUAAAGAAUUGACUCUGUGCCAGGCACGGUGCAUUUUAUGUGCCUUAUCCCAUUUAAAAAUCAAAAUAUCAUCAGGUGUUGGCGCUGUCCCUCCACCCCACCCAGGCCUAGGGUAGCCGGUCCAGCUCCCAGCUGGCUGAACCCAUCACAACCCACCUGGCCAAUCCACUCUGAGUUUCAGCCUGCAAAUGUCCACCAGCUCGGGGGCUUUGCUGCUUUUGCUUUUCACCAGGUCAUUCACCUAACCCAGGAUUUUUUAACUUUGGCACUCUUGCCAUUUGGAGCCAGGAAAUCCUUUGUUUUGGGGGCUGUCCUGUGCAUUGCAGGAGGUGAUGCUAGGUUAAGAGAAGCUUGUUAUUUUUAAUGGCAUUCCCUGGAAGAAUAUAAACCCAGCAACCUUUUAAAAAAAUUUAUUUAUUUAUUUAUGCUAGUUCAUAGAAAAUCAAAAGUCUGAGAACCUUUGGCCCCAGCUCUGAAAAUCUGUAAUUUGGAGUAUGUUUUUGAAGGAAGAACUUGUACUUAGCCUGCCUGCUGACCUUUUAAUGAGUUUUAAAUAACGUCAUUGAUUAAGCUGCCCCAACAGCCUUCCUGUGAAGUAUUCACCUCAAGAGUAAAGGCAGUUGAAUGCUGGAAGAUGAGAUGCAUGCAAGACUAGCAUUCUCACCAACUAGGAAGAGGCGUGGAUCACUUCAGCUCCGAAACUCUGAAUCCUUUCUGGUGACCAUCAAAUAGGAUGAGAAAGCCAAAGCAUGUGAAUAUGGAAAGUUUGCUGGCUCUCUCCAGUUCUUCACUCAUGUGGCCAAAACAGACGCUGUUGACCUGACCCGUCUUCACAUCACAUUUCGAGUCCCUAACAGACCAAUAAAUGGCUCUGUGGCCUGAUUCCAAAUUCCAUGGAGAGAGA
rnacentral:lncRNA from 1 species